UACGUAGGGUGCGAGCGUUAAUCGGAAUUACUGGGCGUAAAGCGUGCGCAGGCGGUUUGCUAAGACCGAUGUGAAAUCCCCGGGCUUAACCUGGGAACUGCAUUGGUGACUGGCAAGCUAGAGUGUGGCAGAGGGGGGUAGAAUUCCACGUGUAGCAGUGAAAUGCGUAGAGAUGUGGAGGAAUACCGAUGGCGAAGGCAGCCUCCUGGGCCAACACUGACGCUCAUGCACGAAAGCGUGGGGAGCAAACAGG
rnacentral:rRNA from 1 species